GGUGCGUAUUUCCAAAGUCAUAAGGGGGUCCGGCAAGGCGAUCCCCAUUCUCCUUUCCUUUUUAACCUGGCUAUAGAGACACUCUCGAAAAUGGUUCUUAAUGCACAAGAAGAGAAAAUGCAGACGGGCUUAUCACCUGACUUGAUUGAGGGGGGUGUGGCUAUCCUGCAAUAUGCAGAUGACACUGUAAUAUGUUUUGAACAUGAUAAGGAAGCGGCUGUGAAUCUGAAGCUUCUAUUGUACCUGUUUGAACUUAUGUCAGGACUGAAGAUCAAUUUUAUGAAAAGUGAAAUCCUCUGUGUCGGUGGAGAUGAUAGUACCCUUUCCUUUUAUGGUAGUAUUGGACAUUUUUCAAUGAAAUACUUGGGAGUCCCAGUCAGUUUCUCUUCUUUGCGUAGCAUAGACUGGGAUUUUAUGGAUGAGAGGUUCCUUAAAUGCUGUGAAUCCUGGAUUGGUAAUGCAGCAUCUUCGGGUGGGAGGCUCAUCCUUCUCAAUUCCUCAUUAACUAGCAUUGUCUUUUACUACAUGUCUAUGUUCCUUCUUCCUAAAGGGGUGAUUGAGAAACUGGAUAAACACCGUAAGCGGUUCUUUUGGCAAGAACAUGAGGGGCGUAAACGAUACCAUCUAGUGAGAUGGAAUAGAAUUUGUAGAUCCAAAGAGAAAGGGGGACUGGGAGUCAAGGAUCUUCAUAAACAGAAUUUAAGCCUCCUCACCAAGUGGUGGUGGAAGCUGGAAACUAAACAAGGGCUAUGGCAGGAUGUGAUCCGGGCCAAGUACUUUAAGCAAGACACGGUGACCUCUGUCAAAACUAAAUUCAAUGACUCGCCAAUCUGGAAAGCAAUCACGAAAACUAAAGAUUACUACCUGGCUGGCAGAAAAGUGAAUUUACAAUCUGGAGAUCUUGCUAGACUGUGGGUUGAUCCAGUUGGCAAUGAACCUCCCCUCCAGUUGCAGUUUCCUAUGAUUUAUGAUAUUUGCAAUGAUCACGAUAUCACGGUUGCUAAGUUCAGGGAAGGGGUGGAGGAAAAAAACUUUUUUAGAAGGCAACUCCACCCUCCCAUGCUUGAGCAAUGGAAUAAUAUCAAAUCUAUAGUGGGGACUUGGCCGAUGACUGGCGAAGCCGACUAAGUGGUCUGGACCUUGGGGAAGAAAAGUAGGUUUACUACGAAAUCUGUUUAUGAAUAUUUGGAAAGAAAUGUGGCGGGGGCAAACUACAAGUGGAUAUGGAAAGCAAAAAUUCCCCUUAAAAUUCAAAUUUUCCUUUGGCAACUGUUUCAGGACGCUAUCCUAACUAGAGAUGUGAUGAGUAGACGAAAGUGGCUGGGAAAUCCUACCUGCUCCUUCUGUGCGGAGAGAGAAACAUCCUAGCAUCUCUUCUUCACUUGCCCUGUGGCCAGAGUCCUCUGGAGGACUGUAGGCUGUGUACUGGGCACGGAUCUGUGUCCAAGUAACAUUUGGCAGUACUAUUCAUGGGCUUACAUGUUUUUACCUGAUGGGGAGAAAUUUUAUACCUUUGUUCUAGCAGGUUUAUGUUGGGCGAUGUGGAUUAAUCGUAACAGUGUUACCUUUGAGUCUAAACAGAUGAGGUCGCCUUUUGAUGUGGUUUACUCUGCAUGUGGUUUUCUUACCUACUGGGAAGGUUUGAUGACAGGAGAUGAUCGAGAGAUGAUGGAGCGCGGAGCCAAGAUGCUGAGGACCAAUGCAUCGAACAUGAUGCGGAUCUGUGCAGCGCCGAGGGGAACCUCAAACUGA
rnacentral:rRNA from 1 species